rnacentral:rRNA from 1 species
AGUGAACGCUGGCGGCAGGCCUAACACAUGCAAGUCGAGCGGCAGCGGGUCCUUCGGGAUGCAGGCGAGCGGCGGACGGGUGAGGAAUACAUCGGAAUCUGCCCUGUCGUGGGGGAUAACCUAGGGAAACUUAGGCUAAUACCGCAUACGACCUACGGGUGAAAGCGGGGGAUCGCAAGACCUCGCGCGACAGGAUGAGCCGAUGUCCGAUUAGCUAGUUGGCGGGGUAAAGGCCCACCAAGGCGACGAUCGGUAGCUGGUCUGAGAGGAUGAUCAGCCACACUGGGACUGAGACACGGCCCAGACUCCUACGGGAGGCAGCAGUGGGGAAUAUUGGACAAUGGGCGCAAGCCUGAUCCAGCCAUGCCGCGUGGGUGAAGAAGGCCUUCGGGUUGUAAAGCCCUUUUGUCCGGGAAGAAAUCGUCUGGGCUAAUACCCCGGGCGGAUGACGGUACCGGAAGAAUAAGCACCGGCUAACUUCGUG